rnacentral:rRNA from 1 species
CCUACGGGAGGCAGCAGUGAGGAAUAUUGGUCAAUGGACGAGAGUCUGAACCAGCCAAGUAGCGUGAAGGAUGACUGCCCUAUGGGUUGUAAACUUCUUUUAUAUGGGAAUAAAAUGUUCCACGUGUGGGCUUUUGUAUGUACCAUAUGAAUAAGGAUCGGCUAACUCCGUGCCAGCAGCCGCGGUAAUACGGAGGAUCCGAGCGUUAUACGGAUUUAUUGGGUUUAAAGGGAGCGUAGGUGGAUUGUUAAGUCAGUUGUGAAAGUUUGCGGCUCAACCGUAAAAUUGCAGUUGAAACUGGCAGUCUUGAGUACAGUAGAGGUGGGCGGAAUUCGUGGUGUAGCGGUGAAAUGCUUAGAUAUCACGAAGAACUCCGAUUGCGAAGGCAGCUCACUGGACUGCAACUGACACUGAGGCUCGAAAGUGUGGGUAUCAAACAGGAUUAGAUACCCUUGUAGUC